GCGCCGGUGGUGUAAAGGCGUAGAGCAUUCCCGCCCGGUCAGAGGGAGGUGCGGGUUCGAGUCCCGCCUUGCGCC
rnacentral:tRNA from 1 species